rnacentral:rRNA from 1 species
ACGCUCGACACCUACGGGAGCAGCAGUGGGGAAUAUUGCACAAUGGGGGAAACCCUGAUGCAGCGACGCCGCGUGAGCGAAGAAGUAUUUCGGUAUGUAAAGCUCUAUCAGCAGGGAAGAAACUGACGGUACCUGACUAAGAAGCACCGGCUAAAUACGUACCAGCAGCCGCGGUAAUCUGAGCGGCUGGCAAGGC